rnacentral:rRNA from 1 species
AAUGAACGCUGGCGGCAGGCCUAACACAUGCAAGUCGAACGGCAGCACAGUAAGAGCGUGCUCUUACCGGUUGCGAGUGGCGGGCGGGUGACGUGUACAUCGGAACCUACUUUUUCGGGGGGGAUAACGUAGGGAAAGUUACGCUAAUACCGCAGACGACCUACGGGGGAAAGCAGUGGAUCUUCGCGCCUUGCGCGACUGAACUAGCCGCUGUCGGACUAGCUAGUUGGGGGGGUAAAGGCCCACCAAGGCGACGAUCCGUAGCUGGUCUGAGUGGAUGAUCAGCGACACUGGAGGUGAGACACGGUCAAGACUCCUAAGGGACGCAGCAGUGGGGAACAUUGGACAAUGGGCGAAAGUCUGACCCAGACAGCCCGCGUGGGUGAAGAAGACCUUCGGUGCGUAAAGCCCUUUUGUUGGGGAAGAACAGCUGUAGGUUGAUACGCCGCGGUUCUGACGGUACCGAAUGAAUAAGCACCGGCUAACUACGUG